GAUGAACGCUAGCGGCAGGCUUAAUACAUGCAAGUCGUGGGGCAGCAGGGUGUAGCAAUACAUUGCUGGCGACCGGCAAACGGGUGCGGAACACGUACACAACCUUCCUACAAGUGGGGCAUAGCCCAGAGAAAUUUGGAUUAAUACCCCGUAACAUAUAGAAAAGGCAUCUUUUUAUAUUAUAGCUUCGGCGCUUGUUGAUGGGUGUGCGGCUGAUUAGAUAGUUGGCGAGGUAACGGCUCACCAAGUCUACGAUCAGUAGCUGAUGUGAGAGCAUGAUCAGCCACACGGGCACUGAGACACGGGCCCG
rnacentral:rRNA from 1 species